ACCUCUUCCCAUUCCGAACAGAGAAGUUAAGCCUUGUCACGCCGAUGGUACUGCGUCACAGUGGGAGAGUAGGUAGCUGCCGUUU
rnacentral:rRNA from 1 species